UACAGAGGUCUCGAGCGUUGUUCGGAUUCAUUGGGCGUAAAGGGCGCGUAGGCGGCGGGGUAAGUCUGGUGUGAAAUCUCGGAGCUCAACUCCGAAAUUGCACUGGAUACUGCUCUGCUAGAGGGCUGGAGAGGAGAUCGGAAUUCACGGUGUAGCAGUGAAAUGCGUAGAUAUCGUGAGGAAGACCAGUGGCGAAGGCGGAUCUCUGGACAGCUCCUGACGCUGGGGCGCGAAGGCUAGGGGAGCAAACGGG
rnacentral:rRNA from 1 species